UGGAGGACCAGCACCAUCUGCAGCUGCUGUGAGAUGGGGAACUUGCAAAUCCUUCCACAGGCCAGGAGACUUGGCCCCUGAAGGCAGGAGGGUUAGGCACCAGAGGCAUGUGGCUUCACCUGGCCUCUCCACAGAAAGGGAAACUGAGGCUGAUGUGGUACUCGGACCACUGAUCAUCUCUGACGUGAGUACAAACGGGGGAGGCUCUCCAGGUCAGCCAAAGGAAUCUGCCACAGAAUCACCCCUAGUCAUUCACCUGGGAGCUGAUCCUGGUCCUGCUGUCAGUGGCUGGAGCUGCAGCCCUAAUGCCUCAUCAUCUUCCUCCUCCUCAGAAAAACAAGCAUGGCUCCCCAUUGUGAUUGGCCUUUCCUUCACAAUAAAGAAUAGAGCAGA